ACAGCGCUGAUGGUACUGCACUCGGUAGGGUGUGGGAGAGUAAGUCACCGCCGGAA
rnacentral:rRNA from 1 species